CAAGAUAUAGCUUGUUAGUGAAGUAUUUCAUUUACACUGAAAAUUUUUCUGUGCAAUUCAGGAUAUCUUGAA
rnacentral:tRNA from 1 species